UUAUUUGAAAUAGGAUACAACCUAUAACACUGGGUAAAUAAAAGUAAUUUAAACAAAGUGGGCCUAAGAGCAGCCAUCUUUUAAAAAGCGUCACAGCUUAACUUCCCUUAUACUUAUAAUUAGUAUACCUCCCCUCAACCCUUCACCAAUACUGAACUUUUUUAUAUUAUUAUAAAAAUUAUUAUGCUAGAACUAGUAACAAGAAAUUGCCCUUCUCCUAAAUGUAAACAUAAGUCAUAACGGACUCCCCAUUGACACUUAACGUAAUUGUAUACUUAUAUAGUAACACUCAUCAAGAAAACCCUAUAAUUUAAAACGUUAACCUUACACUAGAACAUUACAGGAAAGAUUAAAAGAGAGAGAAGGAACUCGGCAAAUUUUAGCCCCGCCUGUUUACCAAAAACAUCGCCUCUUGAUUCCUAUAAGAGGUCCAGCCUGCCCGGUGACAAAGUUUAACGGCCGCGGUACCCUAACCGUGCAAAGGUAGCAUAAUCACUUGUUCUCUAAAUAAGGACUAGUAUCAACGGCAUCACGAGGGCUAUACUGUCUCCUCUCCCUAAUCAGUGAAACUGAUCUCCCCGUGAAGAAGCGGGGAUAUACUU
rnacentral:rRNA from 1 species